rnacentral:rRNA from 1 species
CAAAGGCUUCGGCCGGUAAAGGAUGGGGAUGCGUCUGAUUAGCUUGCCGGCGGGGUAACGGCCCACCGGGGCGACGAUCAGUAGGGGUUCUGAGAGGAAGGUCCCCCACAUUGGAACUGAGACACGGUCCAAACUCCUACGGGAGGCAGCAGUGAGGAAUAUUGGUCAAUGGGCGCGAGCCUGAACCAGCCAAGUAGCGUGCAGGACGACGGCCCUAUGGGUUGUAAACUGCUUUUAUACGGGGAUAAAGUAUGCCACGUGUGGUUUAUUGCAGGUACCGUAUGAAUAAGGACCGGCUAAUUCCGUGCCAGCAGCCGCGGUAAUACGGAAGGUCCGGGCGUUAUCCGGAUUUAUUGGGUUUAAAGGGAGCGUAGGCCGGGUUUUAAGCGUGCCGUGAAAUGUCGGGGCUCAACCUUGACACUGCGGCGCGAACUGGAGUCCUUGAGUGCGCGGAACGUAUGCGGAAUUCGUGGUGUAGCGGUGAAAUGCUUAGAUAUCACGAAGAACCCCGAUUGCGAAGGCAGCAUACGGCAGCGCUACUGGCGCUGAAGCUCGAAGGCGCGGGUAUCGAACAGGAUUAGAUACCCUGGUAGUCCGCGCGGUAAACGAUGGAUGCCCGCUGUUGGCGAUAUAUUGUCA